rnacentral:rRNA from 1 species
UACGUAGGGGGCAAGCGUUGUCCGGAUUUAUUGAGCGUAAAGAGCGUGUAGGCGGCCAUGUAGGUCCGUUGUGAAAACUCGAGGCUCAACCUCGAGACGCCGAUGGAAACCAUGUGGCUAGAGUCCGGAAGAGGAGAGUGGAAUUCCUGGUGUAGCGGUGAAAUGCGCAGAUAUCAGGAAGAACACCCGUGGCUAAGGCGGCUCUCUAGUACGGUACUGACGCUGAGACGCGAAAGCGUGGGGAGCAAACAGG